rnacentral:lncRNA from 1 species
CUUUAUGGAAUCUCUAAGUCCCAACAAUCCUGUCAGAAGGUAAGGGUGUUGCUAUUACCAUGUUACAGAUGAGAAAUCUGGGGCUUAGGUAACCUGCCCAAGGUCAUCCAAGUAGUAAAUGACUGAACCAGAAAUUAACAGGGUCUUUCUGAUUACAGAUUCUGUGGCAUCUGGACCUUGCCCCUACCUCUCUAACUCUCUUUGUGAAUUGAUUACAGGACUGCUGGAAGGAGGGAGAGGAGGAAACCAAUGCGUGGAGUUGUCUCCCAAACCUGGUUCAUCCUUAUCAGCCAGCCGCUCAUUACUUGCAAGGACCCGGCUGAGCAAGGAAGGUAGCGCGAAAGGAGGGAAGAGAAGUCGUGGGGCGGCGGAAGUUGAGCUUUCAGUGCCUCCAUCACCCUGAAACUCGGUAAGACAAAACUGGGCAAAACCCCAGGAAUACACCAAGGGGAGUUACUUCCUUCUCUCCCCUGUAGUAAGGACUGCUCCUACAGCGCACUUCUUUUCAUUUGCUAAUUAGCUUCAGAAAGACCGACUCUCUGGG